ACUUGUUAAUUUCUACCUUCAAUUACAGAAUCGCAUCUUAUUAUUUAGGAAUGACUUUUGAUUUUUAUUAUGGUCCACCAAGUGUUUGUUGUUUUGUCUCAGUGAAGAUCACGUAGGCCUACUAUAAUUUGCUCAAGGAUUUCAAUUGACUUUAACAAUACCAUUUUCAUUGCUUACCCAAUAAAAGAAAAAAGUUAGCUUGUCUAAUCACGGAUGUUGUUUGGCAUCUUACUCAAGCUAUUGUAGAUAGUUUCAGUCUCCCUAGGAUUGUACUUCCUAUGAGUAAUGCCUCUUCAAUCCUUGUUUGUGAUGCGUCUCUACUUAUGCACGAUAAUGGGUACGUGUCCAUCAAAGUUACGAGAGGGGAAUCGACUGACCGAUUAGAGCAGCGCCGCCAUCGCAUCAGACGAACCAGAAUAAGAACUCAUCUCGGCGGAGAUGAGGAAAACCAGAGGAAGCGCAAGGGGAGCCAUGCAUGGCCGUAGCCAACAGAUCAAGAAGAGUCCUUAACAAUACAUCAGCCUCAUGAUGUUAAGCAAGCCGAAAGAAGAUCCAAGAGAAGCUAUUAAAGACACACCAGAACCAUUGUUAGAAGCACAAUCUCACUGAGAGGUCAAUAAGUUUUUAGCCAUCCCCUGCAAGGCCAUUUUCAAGAAAUGAAUUAUAUUUAAGUGGUAUAUUUCUAUUCAACCUUAACAACUUGUGGUCCACAACGGUUCAUAUCACAAACAAAGCCGACGAAGCUUGGCAGAGCUCCAACACUCUCAAUCUCUUAUACCAUUUUCAUUGCUUAUCCAAUAAAAAUGAAAAAAGUUCAUAACAAUAAAAGAAAA